CCUACGGGCGGCAGCAGUGGGGAAUAUUGCGCAAUGGGCGAAAGCCUGACGCAGCGACGCCGCGUGAGGGAUGAAGGUCUUCGGAUCGUAAACCUCUGUCAGCAGGGAAGAACGGUCACUGUGCUAAUCAGCAGUGAAUUGACGGUACCUGCAAAGGAAGCACCGGCUAACUCCGUGCCAGCAGCCGCGGUAAUACGGAGGGUGCGAGCGUUAAUCGGAAUUACUGGGCGUAAAGCGCUCGUAGGCGGUAUGUCAAGUCAAGGGUGAAAUCCCCGCGCUCAACGUGGGAACUGCCUUUGAAACUGGCAAACUGGAGUGUGUGAGAGGAGAGUGGAAUUCCGGGUGUAGGAGUGAAAUCCGUAGAUAUCUGGAGGAACAUCAGUGGCGAAGGCGACUAUCUGGAACAUAACUGACGCUGAGGAGCGAAAGCGUGGGUAGCAAACAGGAUUAGAUACCCUUGUAGUC
rnacentral:rRNA from 1 species